UACAAAUAUACGCUGCUCUGGCCACCUCUGGGUAGAGCCAGCCACGGUUGUUAAGAUGGGUGUAAAUAUCUCUAUAUAUUGCCAAGCAGCCAUUAAGAACUGCCAACCAAGGAGACUUAAUUUUUAUAAAAAUGGCAUAAAAGAAAGAUUUCAAAUCACAAGGAUUAAUAACACAAGAGCUCGGCUUUGGUACAAAAACUUUCUGGACCCACAUGCAUCUAUAUACUGCACUGCUGAAUGUCCUGGACGUGUUCAAGAGACACUGAUAUGUGGAGAAGAUGUUUUUUCUGGGUGUAAGUUUUGGGGCACAUUCACAAAACAAACCCAAAUUAGUCUAAUAAUGCACUGGUAAUUGCUAGGCUUAUCUGAAAACAGGCAAAUUGACAUAGUUCAUCUCUUAGUUGGGCUUAAUACAGGAACUUCUAAUGCAAACAUCUCCAGG
rnacentral:lncRNA from 1 species